rnacentral:rRNA from 1 species
AGCGAACGUUAGCGGCGGGCCUAACACAUGCAAGUCGAACGAGAAUGUAGACUUCGGUCUACUAGUAAAGUGGCGGACGGGUGCGUAACACGUGGGUAAUCUACCUUCCGGCGGGGGACAACAGUCCGAAAGGAUUGCUAAUACCGCGUACGUCAGCGGCGCCUACGGGCGCUGUUGGGAAAGAUGGCCUCUCCUUGGAAGCUAUCACCGGAAGAUGAGCCCGCGUCCCAUCAGCUAGUUGGUGAGGUAAUGGCUCACCAAGGCAAAGACGGGUAGCUGGUCUGAGAGGAUGAUCAGCCACACUGGGACUGCGACACGGCCCAGACUCCUACGGGUGGCUG